UAGGGAAUCUUCCACAAUGGACGCAAGUCUGAUGGAGCAACGCCGCGUGAGUGAAGAAGGUUUUCGGACCGUAAAGCUCUGUUGUUGGUGAAGAAGGAUAGAGGUAGUAACUGGCCUUUAUUUGACGGUAAUCAACCAGAAAGUCACGGCUAACUACGUGCCAGCAGCCGCGGUAAUACGUAGGUGGCAAGCGUUGUCCGGAUUUAUUGGGCGUAAAGCGAGCGCAGGCGGAAGAAUAAGUCUGAUGUGAAAGCCCUCGGCUUAACCGAGGAAUUGCAUCGGAAACUGUUUUCUUGAGUGCAGAAGAGGAGAGUAGAACUCCAUGUGUAGCGGUGGAAUGCGUAGAUAUAUGGAAGAAUACCAGUGGCGAAGGCGGCUCUCUGGUCUGCAACUGACGCUGAGGCUCGAAAGCAUGGGUAGCGAACAGGAUUAGAUACCCUGGUAGUCCAUGCCGUAAACGAUGAGUGCUAAGUGUUGGGAGGCUUCCGCCUCUCAGUGCUGCAGCUAACGCAUUAAGCACUCCGCCCCGGGGGAGUACGACCGCAAGGUUGAA
rnacentral:rRNA from 1 species